AGGUUUCUACACCCUUAUAAAUGGUGGUUUGUUCUCCUCCCCAACCAACGUGGGACAUCACAAAAGACAUGAAAAAGAAGGCCAUUCAUCAUUAUGAAAAGAAUCUGAAGGUAGUGAAAUUCCGGUCCCUACUGGUUCACAUAUUUGCUGCCAUUGGAUCUCGACAAAAAGGUUAAAGAACAAGAACAAGAACAAGAAAGAAUAAGAAACGGCUCAUCCUUAAUGAUACUCGAAGCUCGAAAGAUGGAUUCAUCUUCGGGAGAACGAUCUUGUCGAUAGUUCAACAUCGUCUUUUGUGAAAUGUCUGCCAUGUCGAUCGAAAAUCUUAUUCUUUGAUCUGGAACAAAAACGUCCACAAUGGGAAGGGACAAGGAUAGCUUUAGUAAAGCUGAGGUCAAGGCAUAUCUUGGCAAGCACACCAAAAAAAGGAAAAAAAAAAAGGAGAUGAACUUGCCUUUUGAAGCAUAUGUUCCUGGUUAUUUGAUCAAGCAAAUGGUCCAAAUGAAAG